rnacentral:rRNA from 1 species
AAUUUAAAAAUUAAUUAUAUGUAAGAGGGAUUUUUAUUAAUAAUAGAAAUAUAUUUUAUUUUAUUAUUUUUUAGAAAAAAUUAUUUUUAUUUAAUAUUACUGUGAAGGAAUAAUUAAAAUUGUUAAAAGAAGAAUUAAUUUUUUGUACCUUGUGUAUCAGGGUUUAUUAAAAUAAUUUAAUUAACUUUAAAAUUUUCGAAUUCAAAAGAGUUAAGCUAGCUUUAAAUUUUAUUGUGAAAUAAUUAUUUUAAAAAUUGGCUUAGAAAUGAAAUGUUAAUCGUUUUUGAAAAUAUCUAGUUUCUUAAGAAAAAAAUUUAAUUUUAUUUUUGGUAGUAAUUUAUUAAAUAUUUAAUUUUUUAUUAAAGAAAUUAAAUUGUUUAGGGGACAAGCUUUAAACAGAAAUUUUAUAAAAUUAAUGUAAUUAGUGAGUAAGUAGAAUUAGAAAUUUUUAUUUUUAGGUUAUUGUUAUAAUUCAUUCACUUUAUAUAAUAAUUUUUAUUAAUUUUAAGUAUUUAUUAGGAUUUUUUAUUUAAUUAUAGUUUAGAAUUAAUAAUGAUAAAAUUAGUAUAUGAUUUUUAAUAAAGUUUUAUAUUAUUAAGAUUUAUUAAAGGAAUUCGGCAAAUUGAUUUUUCACCUGUUUAUUAAAAACAUGUCCUUUAGAUUAUUAUUUAAGGUUUAACCUGCCCACUGAAGUUUUAAAUGGCCGCGGUAUUUUGACCGUGCAAAGGUAGCAUAAUCAAUAGUUUCUUAAUUGGAAGCUGGAAUGAAAGGUUGGAUGAGAAAAUAACUGUCUCUAUUAAAUAUAUAUAGAAUUUAAUUUUUAAGUAAAAAAGCUUAAAUGUUGUUAAAAGACGAGAAGACCCUAUAGAGUUUUAUAUAUUAAAUUAAAUUAUUAAUUGGAAUUAAUAAGUAAUUGGAUUAAUUAUAUUUAAUUGGGGUGAUUGAAAAAUUAAUUAAACUUUUUUUUAUUCAAAACAUUAAUUUAUGAAUAAAUGAUCCGUAUUAGCGAUUAUAAGAUUAAAUUACCUUAGGGAUAACAGCGUAAUUAUUUUUGAGAGUCCAAAUUGAAAAAAUAGAUUGCGACCUCGAUGUUGGAUUAAAAUAAAUUUACAGUGCAGAAGCUGUGAUAUUAGGUCUGUUCGACCUUAAAAAUUUUACAUGAUCUGAGUUUAGACCGGUGUAAGCCAGGUCGGAUUCUAUCUUUAAUUAGUUAACGAUUUUUAGUACGAAAGGACCAAGAUUGAUAUAAAAUAUAUUUUUGUUGAAUAUUAUUGUUA